GAGAGCCGAGUCGACUCCAAGACGAUCCGAGUCGACUCCGAGGCAGUUCAACUCCAAAGACAGAAGAUCAGUUUUUCGGUCUCUGAGAGCCGAGUCGACUCGAGGGAGUAAACCUGAAAGAAAGAUCUCUGGAAUCCUGAGAACGAGUCGUCUCCAGAGGGCCGAGUCAUCUCCGGAUACUGGCGAGUCGACUUCAAGUUUGGCCGAGUCGACUUCAGAACGGGACAGCACUUUUAUUCAAAUCCUGAACAGUG
rnacentral:lncRNA from 1 species